AUGUGUCUCUUUACAGUAGAGACAUUCCCUGAAGUGGAUAACAGAUGAAAGCUGAAGAAGGAUCUUGGUGAUUCAUUGCAUUCAUCACAUAACAUUCUGAAGAUUUGACACACUAAAAUUUAGGUUGACUUGAAGUAGCUCUGAUUUGCUUGUUUCAAAGAUAUUUUGCCAACUAUUAUCUUUUGAUUUUGCAAUUAAAAUUUUAACUUUCUUGUAGUCGAGAGGUAGAACUGUGUUUUAUUAUAAAGUACUGCUUUAUUUUCCUUUAAUAUGUUAAUUGAUUUAGUGAUGUAAGCAGUGGUUAACAUCUAUGGUUUUAAAUCUAUCCCAUAUGUGUCCUCCAAGGAUGUAUAGUCCUGUUCUUUUUAUUUAUGGAGACAUAGAAAUAAUAGCGGAGGAAAAUAACAAGGCUCUGAUUUACUUAGAAUUAAUGUUUAAUUUAAUACUUCAUGUUGAUUUGCUCUUGAAUUAUAUCCUGCAUUUGUGUGGCCUUGUAGAAUAUGUUUUGAAAUACAUAUUUUCCUUUCUUAAAUAUGACUGCCCGAAUGUUUUUUUUUAUUCACUAGAUGUUUAUUAACAAAUGCUAGAUUAAGCUAGGUGCUCUAUAGACCUAUUUAUGUAAAUCUUAUUGCUAUGGUAACUAAGUGCUCUAAUAAACCAGAUUUUGGAGGGUGGGGGAGAGGAAAGGUAGCCGCCCUAGCAAUCCUUGGCCAUGUUUAGAACCUGUUUGCUAGGAAUGGAAAGGGAAAAAUAGGGAAAUAUUUCUCCAGCCUCACAGUAAUUCUUAGUAGCUAUUCUUGGGUCAAAUUAUUAAAGAAUUAGUCAUGUGGCAAUAAAUGAGCUUGUCUUAGGGUUUCAUGAUACUUUAUUGUAUAUAUAGUCUCAUUUAUUUGCCAAAUAAACUGUGUUCAAAAAAAGGAAAGAACAGAAUAAUUGAACAAGUGUCAUUUCUUUUUGCACCAAGUACAAGCAUCAUCCCAAUAACAUGUAACAUUUAAGAAAGAUAUGGUAAAAUAUUUGUGCUUCAUUCAAUGGUAUUUUGAGUGAAGAUAUUUCAUUCAUUUUUAAUUAACUUAAAAUUCUAAAUUGGUGGCAUUAUAAAUGUUGAAAAAAAUUCACUAAACAAAUGUUGCAUGUUAAAAUGUAUUUUGACAUUUGAAAUGAAAUAGUUUAUUUGGAACUGCAGUCAUGAAGGAUUAUUGAAAGCUGAGGUAAUUUGAUUGAAGUAUUCUCAAGCAGUGAAAUCAACCAUAUGGCAAGAAAUGGGUUGUUUCCUUCACUGUACAUGAUAGGACCAUCAUAAUGUAGUUAAUUCUUUUGUGGCAGCAGUUUGAGCAAGUCCAGGAUGUCUUUCUACAGAAAAUUAUUUUUUGUCAAAUAUGUUAGGAGAGGUCAUCACACCAUUAGUCUGAAGAAAAUAAUCAUCAGGAACCCAUUAUAGGGUUACCUAGCCGGUGCUAGCUUUAUUUCAUCAUGGAUAUUUUCCCUUCCUUCUCCUGUGUGGCAGAGUUAGGAUUUGAAGCUAUUUGUAGUAUGAGUGUUGAUACAAAAACUUUUUUUAAAAGUUCCGUAUAUUGAUAAGUAAUCCUUAUAAAUGAAAGUGUCAGUUGCUCAUAUGCCACCAUAGAAUGACUUUUAAACAUUCAAGUUUAUGAGAAUUCAGAAUUCACUGUGCAUUUUGUUUUAGUGAGUUCAUUAUUUUUGUCAGUUAAGGUGAUGAAAUUUAUGCAGAAGUAGGUAGUAGUUAACAGUUUAUUUUGGCCAAAUAUUUGUCUGGUUUAUUUUAGUGUUAUUUUUCACUGUAAUAAACCUAAUAAGAAACCAACAAUCAGUAUUUUCCUUUGGUAAAUAAUUUACAUAUACAUUUAUACACACAUAUGUGUAUAAUAUUUCUUAGCCCUAUUUCAAUUUUAAAUCUUUAUAACACACCUGGGAGAAUUUAUAACAAAUUUAAAAUUACAAAAAUACAUUCAGUAGGAGUUCCGUCGUGGCUCAGUGGUUAACGAAUCCGAUUAGGAACCAUGAGGUUUCGGGUUUGAUCCCUGGCCUUGCUCAGUGGGUCAAGGAUCCGGCGUUGCCCUGGGCUGUGGUGAAGGUUGCAGACGCGGCUCGGAUCCCACAUUGCUGUGGCAUAGACUGGCGGCUAUGGCUCGGAUUCGACCCCUAGCCUGGGAACCUCCAUAUGCCACAGGAGCGACCCAAGAAAUGGCAAAAAGACAAAAAAAAAAUACAUUCAAUAUUUUGAGGAUGUAGAGGAACUAGAAAAACAUAUGAUUCAUUAAAUAUCUGUAUGGAAACACAUGAUUAUACAUGCCCAUUUUUGUCAUUGCUUAAAUUUUCCUGAAAAUUUUCACUUCCUACAUAAUAGUGAAAUAAUGUUUCUCAGUGCUGAUGUGGUAUCCUGUUAUGUCAAGUGUAUCAGUUAUGUAAAAAUUACAAACCAACAACUUUUACUACCUCAAGACAACACUUUCUUCCCUCCCUCACAUCAAAUCUGUGUGGCUCUUAGCAACAGUAGAAGGCAACUAUCUUCUCGGCAAAAGUUCAGGGAUGAACCUCAGAAUCAACGUGUACUUCCAUGAGUAUCAAAGGAAGGGCAAGAUCAAGAAUGAUAAACAUAAAAUCUUGUUUGCACUUUGUUGGUCAAAGCAAAUUAUGCACUGGGAAAGUUAUAUGUACGGUGGUCCUACAAAGAGAAAAGGUGGAAGUAAUGGGGGAAUCACUACUGCCUCCCACUUCAGACAUCUUUGGCUUCAGUGGAAUAGUAUUUUAUAGUAACUUUCAGGAAAGUGGAAAUGUAUGAUUAUUUUAAUCCUUGUACUAUUUAUUGAAGAUACAACAUGACAUUCACAGCCAUUUCUUUAACUCCAUCUGAUUAGUUUUUGCCAAAGUGAUAAUGAAGUAGAACCAAAUGCAUAGAGGCUCUUUGAAGUGGAUACAAGAAUCCGUUAACAGAGUGGUUUUUGUUGUUAUGUGGCAUGGCUUACUUUCUUUAUUCCCCCUGAGGAAAUACCUGUUAAAUCACACCUGGGUCAACCUGGGAAAUACAAAAAUGGAAGCCAUGUUUCAGCAGCACUAUCAUAUUCCAUUUUCAACACAGCAAAAUGCAUUUUAUAGUACAAAUAAUAACAUGAAUAGAGAAUACCUGGGAGCACUGACACUAGCCCAAAGAUGAUGCACAUUCUCUAUGCUGUUAUGUAUUUAAUCAACUAUUGAGGCUAACUAUAAACAAAGCACAGGUUUUAAAAUUGGACAUACCUCGGGAGUUCCCAUCAUGGCUCAGCAGUAACGAACUGACUAGUAUGCAAGAGUAUGUGGGUUCGAUCCCUGGCCUCACUCAGUGGGUUAACGAUCUGGCAUUGCCAUGAGCUAUGGCAUAGUUCACAGAUGUGGCUUGGAUCCCACAUUGCUGUGGCUGUGGCUAGGCUGGAAGCUACAGCUUGGAUUCAGUCCCUCACUUGGGAACUUCCAUAUGCCGCAGCUGCAGUCCUAAACAAUCAAAUAAAUAAAUAAAUACCUCACUUGCUGCUUAAUUCUGUCCUUACAUGUGCUAUUCAGACAUACCUCACUUGCUGCUUAAUUCUGACCUUAGAUGUGCUAUUAAAACUCUGCAUCUCUGAUAUUUUAUCUAUAAAAUAGCAAUAAUAAGUUUUUUUGCAAAGCUCCUGUGUAGAUUAAACAAAUGACGGAGAAAACUCUUAUUAUGGAGACUGAAACAUAGCAGAUCGUCAAUAAAUGUUAAUCAUGACAACCGGUAAUAUAUUAUGGAAAGUAAUAUUCUGACUUCUCUGCAAGUUUG
rnacentral:lncRNA from 1 species